rnacentral:rRNA from 1 species
UGAACGCUAGCGGCAGGCUUAACACAUGCAAGGUCGAGGGGUAACAGGGAGUAGCAAUACUCUGCUGACAACCGGCGCACGGGUGCGUAACGCGUAUGCAACCUACCUGUAACAGGGGGGAUAACGGAGGGAAACUUCCACUAAUACCCCAUAUUGUUAUUCUUUCGCAUGUUAGGAUAACGAAAGCUUCGGUGGUUACGGAUGGGCAUGCGUGACAUUAGGUAGUUGGUGAGGCAACGGCUCACCAAGCCGACGAUGUCUAGGGGAGCUGAGAGGCUUAUCCCCCCACACUGGUACUGAGACACGGACCAGACUCCUACAGGAGGCAGCAGUGAGGAAUAUUGGUCAAUGGACGGAAGUCUGAACCAGCCAUGCCGCGUGGAGGAAGAAGGUCCUAUGGGUUGUAAACUCCUUUUGUUCGAGAGUAAUAAGUGGGAUGCGUCCCACGAUGAGAGUAUCGGACGAAUAAGCAUCGGCUAACUCCGUGCCAGCCGCCGC